rnacentral:rRNA from 1 species
CCCUUAGAUGUCCUGGGCCGCACGCGCGUUACACUGAUGCAUUCAACGAGCUUAUAACCUUGGCCGAGAGGCCUGGGCAAUCUUGUUAACGUGCAUCGUGAUAGGGAUAGAUUAUUGAAAUUAUUAAUCUUGAACGAGGAAUUCCUAGUAAACGCAGAUCAACAAUCUGCAUUGAUUACGUCCCUGCCCUUUGUACACACCGCCCGUCGCACCUACCGAUUGGAUGGUCCGGUGAAGCCUCGGGAUUGUGGUUCUUGCCGCUUUAUUGUGGCGUGACCGCGAGAACUUGUCUAAACCUUAUCAUCUAGAGGAAGGUGAAGUCGUAACA